ACUCCUACGGGAGGCAGCAGUGGGGAAUAUUGCACAAUGGGCGCAAGCCUGAUGCAGCCAUGCCGCGUGUGUGAAGAAGGCCUUCGGGUUGUAAAGCACUUUCUAGUUGUGAGGAAGGUGGUGUCGUUAACUAGCGGCAUCAUUUGACGUUAGCAACAAGAAGAAGCACCCGGCUAACUCCGUGCCAGCAGCCGCGGUAAAUACGGAGGGUGCGAGCGUUAAUCGGAAUUACUGGGCGUAAAAGCGCAUGCAGGUGGUUUGUUAAGUCAGAUGUGAAAGCCCGGGGCUCAACCUCGGAACUGCAUUUGAAACUGGCAGACUAGAGUACUGUAGAGGGGGGUAGAAUUUCAGGUGUAGCGGUGAAAUGCGUAGAGAUCUGAAGGAAUACCGGUGGCGAAGGCGGCCCCCUGGACAGAUACUGACACUCAGAUGCGAAAGCGUGGGGAGCAAACAGGAUUAGAUACCCUGGUAGCACAGAG
rnacentral:rRNA from 1 species